GAUGAAGAACGUAGUGAAAUGCGAUACUUGGUGUGAAUUGCAGAAUCCCGUGAACCAUCGAGUCUUUGAACGCAAGUUGCGCCCGAAGCCAUUAGGCCGAGGGCACGCCUGCCUGGGCGUCACACGUCGUUGCCCCCCCAUCUACUCCUUCGGGAUUGCGGGGGGCGGAUGAUGGCCUCCCGUGCGCCUCGUCGCGCGGUUGGCAUAAAUGCCAAGUCCUCGGCGACGCGCGCCACGACAAUCGGUGGUUGCGAAACCUCGGUUGCCCGUCGUGUGCGGUCGUCGCGCAUCGAGGGCUCGAAAAAAUUGUCGGGCUCCGGCUCGGCUUUCAACGCGACCCCAGGUCAGGCGGGGUUACCCGCUGAAUUUAAGCAUAUCAAUAAGCGGAGGA
rnacentral:misc_RNA from 1 species